rnacentral:lncRNA from 1 species
AUGCAAUAUUUCUGGAUCAUAAUCCACCUCAGGGAAGGACAGAUUUGGUUAUGGAGACCUCGGAAGUCCAAGUCUCUAUGCUAAAUAGACAGCAGAAGAACCAAUUUAACAGCUUUCAAUAUUUCUGUCUGACUCCCUGUUGGAAUUGCAGUUUUGAUGUGUGUUACCGGACGAGGGUGUCCAGGUUCCUGGCGUUUUGAACAAAGAAUUGGACAAAACACAGAAACAAAGCAAUGAAGCAAUGAAGCCACAAAAGCAGAGAUGUAUUGAAAACGAAAAGUACACUCCACAGGGUGGGAGCAGACCCGAGCAGCCACUGAAGGGCCCAGUUACAGAAUCUUCGCGGGUCCAAGUACCCCCUAGAGGUUUUCCAUUGGCCACUUGGUGUUCACCUUAUGUAAAUGAAGUGGUGGCUUGCAAUCAGUCUGAUUGCAGAGAGCAACCAGUCAGAGGCUGAGUGAAGUUACAAAGUUACACUCCCAUGCAAACGUCUGAUUGGUUGCAAAAAGCAACCAAUCAGAGAUACUUUUAAUUUCCCAUCUGCCAAUGCAGAAAAAUGGGGGUUUGCAAAGGGAGUAGCCACUUGUCCUUUUGUCCUUUUGUUACUUAGGCAUGGAAAGUUAGGGUUUUCCUUUCAAUUUCGUUUUAGGAAGUCAGCGUGAAAUGGCCUUGGGUUCCCUGCCUCCAGACCUUAUUAUUCUGCCUCAGUUGCACUCAGGGUCCCUGUCCCAUAGUUCUGUGCUGAUAUCUGAGAUAUCAAGUGUGAUAUUGACUGAGGCAAACGACAAAUUACCAAUUCCAAAACGAAUACUAAUUGCAUAAUAACAGUUUCCAAGCUGUUAGUCUGCUUUCCUAAAAAAGCUAAUUUAACACAAGCACAGAACUGGCUCUUGCCCAUGGGUUAUAUUUUCGGUUGGCAGAUUUUGCUUUGCAAAAAGAUUGGGGGAAAUGAGGACUGUUGUAGAAGAAGCAUACUUGGCCUUUUGUGAAGAGGGUACAAAUUGCAUCAACCUCUCAAGGCCUGAAAGUGUGAACACAAGGACACUUAAUACCUUCAAGAGAGGUCGAUUACCUUUCCCAGAGGUAAAAUGACCUAGUGCUUUGGCUUGAGUGGGAUCCUUGAAUUUUCAGCCCUUCGAAGGAGAGUUUUGUGCAGGAUGGAGGUGCUUGAGUGCUGAGGAACUGAACCUGGGUUGGUACGCAUUGUCCAUAGGAUUCAGGGCCCAGGGGAGGGCAUGGUCACUAAAUGGCUGAUCCUCUCUGGAAUGAAACUUUAGAAAGCAAAACGCAAAAUUUUUUGAUUACUAUAGAAUGCUGAAGUUACUGGACUCCUCCUGAGAUUAUGUUCAUAACUUUUUAGCUGAAACUAACAUCUACAAAGACCAUCUAUCUUGGAUGAACCUAUUUUCUGGUAACCAGUGUUAAAUAUUUUUUAAUCAAAAAUUUAAAACUUGCAUUAGAAUAAUUUCUGAUUUUCACCUUUUUAAAUAGAAUUUUUUAAAAUAUAUUUUUUAAAGAUGAGGUCUCACUACAUUGCCCUGGCUGGUCUGGAACUUGUGCACUCAAGCAGUCCUCCCACCUCAGCCUCCCAAAGUGCUGGGAUUACAUGUGUGAGCCACAGUGCCCAGUUUGAUUUUUGCCUCUGAAAUAUUUGAAGUAUAUUUUAAAAUACAUGCUUUUUGUGGGAUUACAUUUAGAAGACUUCUCUUUUUUGAAACUUAGAAAGAGUGGAAAUUAUUAUCCGCAGCAGUGUUUUUGAAUAUUACCUUUGCCUCAUGCCUUAAUUCUUGUGGAACCUGGAAGAAGUAGAGAUG